CCUACGGGAGGCGGCAGUGGGGAAUUUUGGACAAUGGGCGCAAGCCUGAUCCAGCCAUGCCGCGUGAGUGAAGAAGGCCUUCGGGUUGUAAAGCUCUUUCGGCAGGAACGAAAUGGUUCGUGCUAAUACCACGGACUGAUGACGGUACCUGAAGAAGAGGCACCGGCUAACUACGUGCCAGCAGCCGCGGUAAUACGUAGGGUGCAGGCGUUAAUCGGAAUUACUGGGCGUAAAGCGUGCGCAGGCGGUUUCUUAAGUCAGAUGUGAAAGCCCCGGGCUUAACCUGGGAACUGCGUUUGAAACUGGGAGACUUGAGUGUGGCAGAGGGGGGUGGAAUUCCACGUGUAGCAGUGAAAUGCGUAGAUAUGUGGAGGAACACCGAUGGCGAAGGCAGCCCCCUGGGCUAGCACUGACGCUCAUGCACGAAAGCGUGGGGAGCAAACAGGAUUAGAUACCCUGGUAGUCCACGCCCUAAACUAUGUCAACUGGUUGUCGGGAGAUUAACUCUCUUGGUAACGAAGCUAACGCGUGAAGUUGACCGCCUGGGGAGUACGGCCGCAAGGUUAAACUUAAAGUUGAAAUUGACGG
rnacentral:rRNA from 1 species